UACGUAGGGUGCAAGCGUUGUCCGGAAUUAUUGGGCGUAAAGGGUGCGUAGGCGGUUUGAUAAGUCAUCUGUGAAAUCUCUGGGCUCAACCCAGAGUCUGCAGGCGAAACUGUCGGGCUUGAGUAUGGGAGAGGUGAGUGGAACUGCGAGUGUAGAGGUGAAAUUCGUAGAUAUUCGCAAGAACACCAGUGGCGAAGGCGGCUCACUGGCCCGAUACUGACGCUGAGGCACGAAAGCGUGGGGAGCAAACAGG
rnacentral:rRNA from 1 species